GAUGAACGCUAGCGGCAGGCUUAAUACAUGCAAGUCGUGGGGCAGCAUGAGUAGCAAUACUUGAUGGCGACCGGCAAACGGGUGCGGAACACGUACACAACCUUCCGAUAAGUGGGGAAUAGCCCAGAGAAAUUUGGAUUAAUACACCGUACCAUAAUGAAGAGGCAUCUUUUUAUUAUUAUAGUCUUCGGACGGUUUUGGAUGGGCGUGCGCCUGAUUAGGUAGUUGGCGGGGUAACGGCCCACCAAGCCUGCGAUCAGUAACUGGUGUGAGAGCACGACCAGUCACACGGGCACUGAGACACGGGCCCGACUCCUACGGGAGGCAGCAGUAAGGAAUAUUGGUCAAUGGACGAAAGUCUGAACCAGCCAUGCCGCGUGAAGGAUGAAGGUCCUCUGGAUUGUAAACUUCUUUUAUCUGGGACGAAAAAAGGUCAUUCUUGAUCACUUGACGGUACCAGAGGAAUAAGCACCGGCUAACUCCGUGCCAGCCGCCGCCGUAA
rnacentral:rRNA from 1 species